AUAAUAAUUAGUCUUUUAAUUGAAGGCUGGAAUGAAAGAUUGAACGUAAUAAAUACUGUCUCAAUUAAAAUUAUUUAAAUUUAAUUUUUAAGUUAAAAAGCUUAAAUUUUAUUAAAGGACGAGAAGACCCUAUAGAGUUUUAUAAUAAUUUUUUUAUAUUAAUUAAUUUUUUUAAUAUUUUUAUUUUAUUAUUUUGUUGGGGCGAUAGUUAAAUUUGAUAAACUUUUUUAAUUUGAUUACAAAAAUUAUUGAGUUUUUGAUCCUAUUUUUUAGAUUAAUAGAUUAAGUUACCUUAGGGAUAACAGCGUUAUUUUUUUUAAAAGUUCUUAUUAAUAAAAAAGAUUGC
rnacentral:rRNA from 1 species